rnacentral:misc_RNA from 1 species
UCGAGUCUAAAAAAACUCCCUAAAACCAUUGUGAACUUACCUAUUCGUUGCUUCGGUGGGGCGACCCCUCUAGGGGUCCUCGGUCGCAAGGCGCCCGCCGAAGGUUAUUUAACUCUUGCUUUUUUAUUGUCACAUCUGAGUUAUUACAAAAAUAAUCA